CGGACGGGUGAGUAACGCGUGGGGAACCUGCCCCGUACCGGGGGAUAACAGUUAGAAAUGACUGCUAAUACCGCAUAAGCGCACAGUGAGGCAUCUCACAGUGUGAAAAAACUCCGGUGGUACGGGAUGGACCCGCGUUGGAUUAGCCAGUUGGCGGGGUAACGGCCCACCAAAGCGACGAUCCAUAGCCGGCCUGAGAGGGCGACCGGCCACAUUGGGACUGAGACACGGCCCAAACUCCUACGGGAGGCAGCAGUGGGGAAUAUUGCACAAUGGGGGAAACCCUGAUGCAGCGACGCCGCGUGAGUGAAGAAGUAUUUCGGUAUGUAAAGCUCUAUCGGCAGGGAAGAAGACGACGGUACCUGACUAAGAAGCCCCGGCUAACUACGUGCCAGCCGCGGC
rnacentral:rRNA from 1 species